CAACACCUCAAGUGGUCAGGAUGAUUAUUGGGCCUAAAGCAUCCGUAGCCGGCGCUGUAAGUUUUCGGUUAAAUCUGUACGCUCAACGUACAGGCUGCCGGGAAUACUGCAGCGCUAGGGAGUGGGAGAGGUAGACGGUACUCGGUAGGAAGGGGUAAAAUCCUUUGAUCUAUUGAUGACCACCUGUGGCGAAGGCGGUCUACCAGAACACGUCCGACGGUGAGGGAUGAAAGCUGGGGGAGCAAACCGGAUUAGAGACCCGAGUAGUCC
rnacentral:rRNA from 1 species